ACCUGCCUAUUCUAGUAACUCAGCAUCACUUGGUGAUCUGUGUAGUCAAAAAAAAACAAUAAAUACAAAAUACCUGCCUCCUGUGUAGCUGUAAGAAUGAGCAUUGGUCCUGAAAAUAGUGAAAUAGAUCAGCAGAGCAUUUCUCCCAGGCUUAAAUGGAGAGCUCUUCUAAAAAUGUUCACCUUCUACCAAUUCCAGACUUAAGUUACUGUCUGAAAGCUUAGAUAUCUUUAAAUGACACUACAUUGCUAGUUUAGAGAUGCUCAGAUAAAUACACUGAGAUAAAGAGGACUCGAGAGGAGACUGAAGGGAAAAAAGAUAAAAGAAACUCUUCUCUUGAGAGGAGAAAAUACGUGCCUGCUCCCUUAGUUCUUUCUUCACCCAGGAGGAACGUCCACAGCAGCUUUGCAGGGAGGAGACUGCAUACACCAGUACUCCACAAUGGAACCCUGGUGGACUGUGGCUAUGAUAAGAUCUGCAAAGGUCAUACAGCAGUGACAGGAUGGCAGAACUCAGAGGCAGUCACUGUCAGCUCAGAGCCACACAAGCAAGCUCACACUGAUCCGUGCAGAAAAUCCCCAGAGAGGAUCUGCCCUGGGUGAGAUCCCAGACAGCUGAGAGGCUCCAGAGACUGGACAAAAGUAAUCUGAACUUCUGUGUUGACCUAAUCUUUCAGCUUAGGCUAGCCAAGUCACUUAGAGUUGGAUCGGUAAGAAAAGGGGGCUGAGAGUAGCUAGGAGUUGUUAUAACUCCAGGGCAUCACAAGGCACAGCUGUAGCCACUGGCAAACUUGCCCUGGGCAACUGAUCUAGCUGUGAAUGUCCCUGUUCAUUGCAGGGGAGCUGGACUAGAUGGCCUUCAGAGGUCCCUUCCAACUCUAAGGAUUCUAUGAUCUGUGGUUCAGUCUGUGAAGAGCAAGACUAACUGGGAUCUAGGAGGGUUAGUACAGAUUCUAAACUCUAUGUUGAAAUCUUCAGAGUCUUGGCAAUUGCCAGGUGAAGAAAGAACCACAGUGGGAUCUGGAUAACCAUUUCAAAUUUCAAAAUCUCUGUGGAGGUCAUCUAAUUCUUCAACUAAUCUAUUGAUUUCCUGUGUGAACCUUUCCAAUCAAAAGCAUCGUGCUUGCUACUCUGCCUGAAAGAGUUCAAAAGCUAAAAAGACUGCAGAUGACACAUUUCCCCAUUACUCCACCCAAAAACAUAACACUUUUGUGAGAGAUACUAAAGACAUCAGAGAAUCCAAAACACUGUGAUGUUUUGAUAGAAGAAACAAAUGACUGCAGGCUCACUCACAGCACUAGGUGAGUGUCAGAUUGAAAGGAACAUUCCAAAAACAAAAGCAUCAAAGAAAAGAUGUGUAGCUCUCCUACAUACAGAUGGAUAGAGAACAAAAGCCAUUCCAACAUUACUGGGUUACCCCAUUCCUUAGGUUUAUGAGGAAUAAAUAUUAUGUACAAUGGAAGUGUCUACCA
rnacentral:lncRNA from 1 species